GAUGAACGCUGGCGGCGUGCCUAACACAUGCAAGUCGAGCGGUAACACUUCGGGUGACGAGCGGCGGACGGCAGAGUAACGCGUAGGAACGUACCCCAAACUGAGGAAUAAGCACCGGAAACGGUGUCUAAUACCGCAUCUUAUCUUCGGAUCAAAGCUUCGGCGGUUUGGGAGCGGCCUGCGUCUGAUUAGCUAGUUGGUGAGGUAAAAGCUCACCAAGGCGACGAUCAGUAGCUGGUUUGAGAGGAUGACCAGCCUGACUGGAACUGAGAACGGUCCAGACUCCUACGGGAGGCAGCAGUGGGGAAUUUUUCGCAAUGGGGGAAACCCUGACGGAGCAACGCCGCGUGCAGGAGGAAGGCCUUCGGGUUGUAAACUGCUUUUAUUGGUGACGAUUAUGACAGUAGCCAAUGAAUAAGGACCUGCUAACUACGUGCCAGCCGCCGCCGUAA
rnacentral:rRNA from 1 species